GACAAGGUGGCUGAAUGGUUAAGGCGACGGAUUGCAAAUCCGUUAUCUAUGAGUUCGAAUCUCAUCCUUGUCU
rnacentral:tRNA from 1 species